rnacentral:lncRNA from 1 species
AAUCUUCACAGAUCGAGUCAUAACCUUCAGGACGAAGUCUUGAUCAUGAAUAAUGACAUAUCAGCGGGCCUGUAUGAAGAUUUCCCCCCAAGUCCCAAUUGCCGAAUGUUGAUCUUCCAAAAUUUUUCCCUCCCUAGGAAUUGUGUUCCGCCUAUCAGAAUCGUUUUCUCUUCAUUGGUUUGCGACGACAGUUCAAAAUACCAACCAGAAAACUCACCGCUCUGAGCUCCUUCCCUCCUCCGCCGACGAGGGGCCAGUCGGGCGCCAUUCUAUACAAAAGGUAUGUCUAGCCCCAGCCCCCAACGCUCUCCGUUGAGAGAAUUGAGGGGAUCAGCCAGCCGAACACAGGAACAACGGCAGCGACGCCUCGCGUACGCUCGUCGCUGGGACGACGACGAUCUGAUCGCAUUCCCUUUGGUUGAAUCCGGCGCCGCGUGUUGAGAGUAUCUUCCGAAUGCUCUGUUUAGUGGAAGCGCGAAACACGACAGCCGGACACAUCUUUGCAUCGAUUGUACGUCUCGUGCCACCACUUGUGCGAGUCCCUUACGUCUCACGCAUCACAAAGAGUAGGAGAAGCUCGACAUACGAGCUGCAGCAGACAACCCCGUUUGUCUGGUCUGGUCAUCUAUAAGGAUAGAUAUUACCAUUAUAGAAAGUAUUGCGAACUUCUACGGUCACGAAUGCUACAUUGCUAUCUGCGACGUGGCGUUGAAGCGUGACGAUGCUUCAAAGCGCCUUGACAUUUCCUACUAGUAGGCCAGACGAUACCAUCCAUUCCACGGCUCGAUCGUGUCCUUCGUUGUCGAUAGACACGUUUUGAUGCCUAGAAUGAAUGCUCUUGGCCACGUAUAACUUAUAUAUGUUGGAUGUUGAAGGUGUAUGAUAUCAGAUCGUUGCGAGACUGACACUACCUUGCCACAUCACGUAGAAAGGCGGUCAGCGUGUCGAUCAGCGAAGUUGCACGGAGCUGUCAGGACGUAUCAAUACCAAUGUGCAACUGGUUCUUCUGCACCGGAUGAAUCAGCUACAUGUUCAUCCAACCAUGCUUCUCUCUGAGAGAGGAGGCUAGAACAGAUAUCUCCCGCUGCGGUAAAUGUGCAACGGCCAACAUGCGUUGGUUGUUCAUUCAGGUGGGUAUUUGCGCGCGAUGAAAUUAAUUUUCCGUGAUGCACCGGAACAGGACCGAAAUGGUUCGUUCAGCUUCACGGACCAUCGAUCAAUGAAAUGUGCCUGGAGUCAUCUGAAGGAGAAAAUUCUGCUGAUGCUAGUCGUGAUAGUCGAGGUUGACGUUGCCGCCAAGGGACCAUCAGGAAAGGGACAUUGCAUUGAUGCAGGCAGGUGGCACAACCAUCCCGUGAUUCGCUCUUUCCUCUCCACAGCUUAACGUAAUAACGUGUCGAAUGCCUCGAACCAACUGCCAACUGUCGGUCGCCAGUUGCAUAUUUCCAUUGCACAUGAAAGGUCAUCAACUCGUCUCCCGCUUGUUAUUAUCGAUAUGGUUGGUCGCUUCCGGGAUUUGGCAUUGGCAUGCAGGAUGCUUCAAAUCCCGACAGUUUGAUUGACGUUGGGGAAUGCCUUAUUUCGACCUCAACCCCAAAAUCAUCGUUUUUAGUAUCAUCGCCGAUCGAAUGUGUGGCCUUGGUCUUCUCUGAACAAGUUUUCGCUCAAAAUAUUAGCGUCAGGAUCCCAUCGGUCGACAUAGCGAAAGCAGCCAUACGCGAUCAGUGCCCAGCAGUCGUCCGGGCCCAAUUUACAGUGCGGUGUAACGUGUGGAUUGGGACGUGAGAGGGUUUCAAUGAUACCUAGUUACCGUAAUGAUUUGAUCUCAACCUCUGCCAGUUGUUUUUUGACGGUCAUCCUGGGAUGACACUCAUUCAUAGCCAUUCCGGCUCCAGAGUCCGUCCUGCCUGCCGCAUUCUGCGCCGUUGUAAUAGCUCUUUUCUUCAUGACUAUUCAAAUUCUGAACUGCAGACCGAUCCUAACCAUUACAGACUGAGAUACUAACACAUCAUCUAGCUAGCAUUGUACUCUUAGGUCUGGCCCUCGCAGUGCCAGGAGCCACAGAAUUCAACUGUUCGACGUGCAAGGUUCUCGAUCAACUUCGCGAACUCAGUAAUAAACACGAUAACUAGAAAAACUAGACAAGAAACAACACCAAUUUACAUUUCUCUAUUACAAGUCAAAUGAUAUUCUCAAUCAAGCAAAA